GUAGAACCAGGGCUGUGUACCUUGUUUCCGGACCGUCCUGUUCCAGUGGAACCAUUGCCUCUUCCUAAGCUGAGUUGGACUGAUUGUUGCAGUGGUGGUGUCAGUGAACUAUGGCCCUUCCUGUAGAACCAGGGCUGUGUACCUUGUUUCCGGACCGUCCUGUUCCACUGGAACCAUUGCCUCUUCCUAAGCUGAGUUGGACUGAUUGUUGCAGUGGUGGUGUCAGUGAACUAUGGCCCUUCCGGUAGAACCAGGGCUGUGUACCUUGU